CAGUAGCCGCGGUAAUACGGAGGGUGCAAGCGUUAAUCGGAAUUACUGGGCGUAAAGCGCACGCAGGCGGUUUGUUAAGUCAGAUGUGAAAUCCCCGGGCUCAACCUGGGAACUGCAUUUGAAACUGGCAAGCUAGAGUCUCGUAGAGGGGGGUAGAAUUCCAGGUGUAGCGGUGAAAUGCGUAGAGAUCUGGAGGAAUACCGGUGGCGAAGGCGGCCCCCUGGACAAAGACUGACGCUCAGGUGCGAAAGCGUGGGGAGCAAACAGGAUUAGAUACCCGCGUAGUCCCUGUCUCUUAUAC
rnacentral:rRNA from 1 species